GUCGAGCGAACCGACGGGAGCUUGCUCCCUUAGGUUAGCGGCGGACGGGUGAGUAACACGUGGGUAACCUGCCUGUAAGACUGGGAUAACUCCGGGAAACCGGGGCUAAUACCGGAUGCUUGAUUGAACCGCAUGGUUCAAUUAUAAAAGGUGGCUUUUAGCUACCACUUACAGAUGGACCCGCGGCGCAUUAGCUAGUUGGUGAGGUAACGGCUCACCAAGGCGACGAUGCGUAGCCGACCUGAGAGGGUGAUCGGCCACACUGGGACUGAGACACGGCCCAGACUCCUACGGGAGGCAGCAGUAGGGAAUCUUCCGCAAUGGACGAAAGUCUGACGGAGCAACGCCGCGUGAGUGAUGAAGGUUUUCGGAUCGUAAAACUCUGUUGUUAGGGAAGAACAAGUACCGUUCGAACAGGGCGGUACCUUGACGGUACCUAACCAGAAAGCCACGGCUAACUACGUGCCAGCAGCCGCGGUAAUACGUAGGUGGCAAGCGUUGUCCGGAAUUAUUGGGCGUAAAGCGCGCGCAGGCGGUUUCUUAAGUCUGAUGUGAAAGCCCCCGGCUCAACCGGGGAGGGUCAUUGGAAACUGGGGAACUUGAGUGCAGAAGAGGAGAGUGGAAUUCCACGUGUAGCGGUGAAAUGCGUAGAGAUGUGGAGGAACACCAGUGGCGAAGGCGACUCUCUGGUCUGUAACUGACGCUGAGGCGCGAAAGCGUGGGGAGCGAACAGGAUUAGAUACCCUGGUAGUCCACGCCGUAAACGAUGAGUGCUAAGUGUUAGAGGGUUUCCGCCCUUUAGUGCUGCAGCAAACGCAUUAAGCACUCCGCCUGGGGGAGUACGGUCGCAAGACUGAAACUCAAAGGAAUUGACGGGGGCCCGCACAAGCGGUGGAGCAUGUGGUUUAAUUCGAAGCAACGCGAAGAACCUUACCAGGUCUUGACAUCCUCUGACACCCCUAGAGAUAGGGCUUCCCCUUCGGGGGCAGAGUGACAGGUGGUGCAUGGUUGUCGUCAGCUCGUGUCGUGAGAUGUUGGGUUAAGUCCCGCAACGAGCGCAACCCUUGAUCUUAGUUGCCAGCAUUCAGUUGGGCACUCUAAGGUGACUGCCGGUGACAAACCGGAGGAAGGUGGGGAUGACGUCAAAUCAUCAUGCCCCUUAUGACCUGGGCUACACACGUGCUACAAUGGGCAGAACAAAGGGCAGCGAAGCCGCGAGGCUAAGCCAAUCCCACAAAUCUGCUCUCAGUUCGGAUCGCAGUCUGCAACUCGACUGCGUGAAGCUGGAAUCGCU
rnacentral:rRNA from 1 species